ACUGUGGUAGUCUAAUAGACAUUUGAUUUCGACUCAAAAGAACUUAUCCGUAUAAGCCACAGUA
rnacentral:tRNA from 2 species